rnacentral:rRNA from 1 species
GAUGAACGCUAGCGGCAGGCUUAAUACAUGCAAGUCGAGGGGCAGCAGUUUUGUAGCAAUACAGAAGCUGGCGACCGGCAAACGGGUGCGGAACACGUACGCAACCUUCCUUUAACUGGGAGAUAGCCCACCGAAAGGUGGAUUAAUAUCCCAUAGUAUAUUUGAGUGGCAUCACUUAGAUAUUAAAGCUCCGGCGGUUAAAGAUGGGCGUGCGUCUGAUUAGGUAGUUGGCGGGGUAACGGCCCACCAAGCCCACGAUCAGUAGCUGAUGUGAGAGCAUGAACAUCCAAACGGGCACUGAGACACGGGCCCGACUCCUACGGGAGGCAGCAGUAAGGAAGAUUGGUCAAUGGACGCAAGUCUGAACCAGCCAUGCCGCGUGGAGGAUGAAGGUCCUCUGGAUUGUAAACUUCUUUUCUUUGGGACGAAACCCCUGUUUCUACGGGGACUGACGGUACCAGAGGAAUAAGCACCGGCUAACUCCGUGCCAGCCGCCGCAGUAAAAC